rnacentral:rRNA from 1 species
AUUGAACGCUGGCGGCAUGCCUUACACAUGCAAGUCGAACGGCAGCACGGGUGCUUGCACCUGGUGGCGAGUGGCGAACGGGUGAGUAAUACAUCGGAACGUACCUUAUCGUGGGGGAUAACGCAGCGAAAGUUGCGCUAAUACCGCAUACGCCCUGAGGGGGAAAGCGGGGGACCGUAAGGCCUCGCGCGAUUAGAGCGGCCGAUGUCUGAUUAGCUUGUUGGUGAGGUAAAAGCUCACCAAGGCGAUGAUCAGUAGCUGGUCUGAGAGGACGAUCAGCCACAGUGGGACUGAGACACGGCACAGACUCCUACGGGAGGCAGCAGUGGGGAAUUUUGGACAAUGGGGGCAACCCUGCUCCAGCAAUGCCGCGUGAGUGAAGAAGGCCUUCGGGUUGUAAAGCUCUUUUGUCAGGGAAGAAACAGCAGCUCUAACACAGUCUGCGAAUGACGGUACCUGAAGAAUAAGCACCGGCUAACUACGUGCCAGCCGCCGCAGUAA